rnacentral:rRNA from 1 species
UACAGGGGGGGCAAGCGUUUGUUCGGAAUUACUGGGCGUAAAGGGCUCGUAGGCGGCCAACUAAGUCACACGUGAAAUCCCCAGGCCUUAACCUGGGAACUGCGUGUGAUACUGGAUGGCUUGAAUUCGGGAGAGGGAUGCAGAAUUCCAGGUGUAGCGGUGAAAUGCGCAGAUAUCAGGAGGAACACCGGUGGCGAAGGCGGGUCUCUGGGCCGAUACUGACGCUGAGGAGCGAAAGCGUGGGGAGCGAACAGG